AUUGAACGCUGGCGGCAGGCUUAACACAUGCAAGUCGAGCGGGGUGAUGGUGCUUGCACUAUCACUUAGCGGCGGACGGGUGAGUAAUGCUUAGGAAUCUGCCUAUUAGUGGGGGACAACAUCUCGAAAGGGAUGCUAAUACCGCAUACGUCCUACGGGAGAAAGCAGGGGAUCACUUGUGACCUUGCGCUAAUAGAUGAGCCUAAGUCGGAUUAGCUAGUUGGUGGGGUAAAGGCCUACCAAGGCGACGAUCUGUAGCGGGUCUGAGAGGAUGAUCCGCCACACGGGGACUGAGAAACGGCCGAGACUCAUACGGGAGGCAGCAGUGGGGAAUAUUGGACAAUGGGGGGAACCCUGAUCCAGCCAUGCCGCGUGUGUGAAGAAGGCCUUAUGGUUGUAAAGCACUUUAAGCGAGGAGGAGGCUCUUUUGGUUAAUACCCAAGAUGAGUGGACGUUACUCGCAGAAUAAGCACCGGCUAACUCUGUGCCAGCCGCCGCGGUAA
rnacentral:rRNA from 1 species